rnacentral:rRNA from 1 species
CAGUCGCCACGGUAAUACGUAGGUCCCGAGCGUUGUCCGGAUUUAUUGGGCGUAAAGCGAGCGCAAGCGGUUAGAUAAGUCUGAAGUUAAAGGCUGUGGCUUAACCAUAGUACGCUUUGGAAACUGUUUAACUUGAGUGCAAGAGGGGAGAGUGGAAUUCCAUGUGUAGCGGUGAAAUGCGUAGAUAUACGGAGGAACACCGGUGGCGAAAGCGGCUCUCUGGCUUGUAACUGACGCUGAGGCUCGAAAGCGUGGGGAGCAAACAGGAUUAGAUACCCCCGUAGUCCCUGUCUCUUAUACA